GAAAUGCGAUAAGUAAUGUGAAUUGCAGAAUUCAGUGAAUCAUCGAAUCUUUGAACGCACAUUGCGCCCGCCAGUAUUCUGGCGGGCAUGCCUGUUCGAGCAUCAUUUCAACCAUCAAGCCCCCGGCUUGUGUUGGGGACCUGCGGCUGCCCGCAGGCCCUGAAAACCAGUGGCGGGCUCGCUGUCACACCGAGCGUAGUAGCAUACAUCUCGCUCAGGGCGUGCUGCGGGUUCCGGCCGUUAAAAGCCUUUUUUACCCAAGGUUGACCUCGGAUCAGGUAGGAAGACCCGCUGAACUUAAGC
rnacentral:misc_RNA from 1 species